rnacentral:rRNA from 1 species
GAUGAACGCUGGCGGCGUGCCUAAUACAUGCAAGUCGAACGAAGCUUUUUUAACUGGUGCUUGCACCGACUUAAACAACUGAGUGGCGAACGGGUGAGUAACACGUGGGUAACCUGCCCCAAAGCGGGGGAUAACAUUUGGAAACAGAUGCUAAUACCGCAUAACCACAGAAACCACAUGGUUUCUGUGUCAAAGAUGGUUUCGGCUAUCACUUUGGGAUGGACCCGCGGCGUAUUGGCUAGUUGGUAAGGUAAUGGCUUACCAAGGCAAUGAUACGUAGCCGAACUGAGAGGUUGAUCGGCCACAUUGGGACUGAGACACGGCCCAAACACCUACGGGAGGCAGCAGUAAGGAAUCUUCCACAAUGGGCGCAAGCCUGAUGGAGCAACACCGCGUGAGUGAAGAAGGGUUUCGGCUCGUAAAACUCUGUUGUUAAAGAAGAACGUAUCUAAGAGUAACUGCUUAGGUAGUGACGGUAUUUAACCAGAAAGCCACGGCUAACUACGUGCCAGCCGCCGCAGUAA